rnacentral:rRNA from 1 species
UGAGUACGAGACGCUAAGGCGUCGAAGUAGUGGAUGUCAUACUUCCAAGAAAAGCUUGUACUGUCAUAAAUAAGAAAUGCCUGUACCAUAACCGACACAGGUGGGUAAGUAGAGUAUACUAAGGGGCGCGAGAUAACUCUCUCUAAGGAACUCGGCAAAAUAACUCCGUAACUUCGGGAGAAGGAGUGCCUUAUUCUUAAGGUUGCAAUAACAAGAUCCAAGCAACUGUUUAUCAAAAACACAGGUCUCCGCUAAGUCGUAAGACGAUGUAUGGGGGCUGACGCCUGCCCAGUGCCAGAAGGUUAAAGAAGUCGGUUAGCAAUAGCAAAGCUGGUAACUGAAGCCCUGGUGAACGGCGGCCGUAACUAUAACGGUCCUAAGGUAGCGAAAUUCCUUGUCGGGUAAGUUCCGACCCGCACGAAGGGCGUAAUGAUUUGGAUGCUGUCUCGGAGAGGGGCUCGGUGAAAUAGACUUGUCUGUGAAGAUGCGGACUACCUGCACCAGGACAGAAAGACCCUAUGAAGCUUUACUGUAACUUGAAAUUGAAAUUGGACUUUAUUCGCGCAGUAUAGGUGGGAGGCGUUGAUUAUAAUCUUGUGGGAUUAUUGGAGCCAUCAGUGAGAUACCACUCUUGUAAUGUUAGAUUUCUAACUUUGAAUCAUUAUCUGGUCAAAGGACAGUUUCAGGCGGGCAGUUUGACUGGGGCGGUCGCCUCCUAAACGGUAACGGAGGCGUACAAAGGUUUCCUCUGAACGGUUAGAAAUCGUAUCUAGAGUGUAAAGGCAUAAGGAAGCUUGACUGUGAGACCUACAAGUCGAGCAGGGACGAAAGUCGGUCUUAGUGAUCUGACGGUACUGAGUGGAAAGGCCGUCACUCAACGGAUAAAAGUUACUCUAGGAUAACAGGCUGAUCUCCCCCAAGAGUUCACAUCGACGGGGAGGUUUGGCACCUCGAUGUCGGCUCAUCGCAUCCUGGGGCGGUAGUACGUCCCAAGGGUUGGGCUGUUCGCCCAUGAAAGCGGUACGCGAGCUGGGUUCAGAACGUCGUGAGACAGUUCGGUCCAUAUCCGGUGUAGGCGCUAGAAUAUUGAGAGGAGCCUUCUUUAGUACGAGAGGACCGAGAAGGACAUACCUCUGGUGUACCAGUUAUCGUGCCAACGGUAAACGCUGGGUAGCUAUGUAUGGAGUGGAUAACCGCUGAAAGCAUCUAAGUGGGAAGCCCACCUCAAGAUAAG